AGAGAGGUGGCCGAGUGGUCGAAGGCGCACGCCUGGAAAGUGUGUAAACGUCAAAAGCGUUUCGAGGGUUCGAAUCCCUUCCUCUCUG
rnacentral:tRNA from 1 species